UACGGAGGGAGCUAGCGUUGUUCGGAAUUACUGGGCGUAAGGCGCACGUAGGCGGCUUUGUAAGUUAGAGGUGAAAGCCCGGGGCUCAACUCCGGAACUGCCUUUAAGACUGCAUCGCUUGAAUCCAGGAGAGGUGAGUGGAACUGCGAGUGUAGAGGUGAAAUUCGUAGAUAUUCGCAAGAACACCAGUGGCGAAGGCGGCUCACUGGCCCGGUACUGACGCUGAGGUGCGAAAGCGUGGGGAGCAAACAGG
rnacentral:rRNA from 1 species